AACGAACGCUGGCGGCAUGCCUAAUACAUGCAAGUCGAACGGGGAAAGCUUUCGGGUGAGUACUAGUGGCGCACGGGUGAGUAACGCGUGGAUAAUCUGCCUUAGAGUGGGGGAUAACUAGUCGAAAGAUUAGCUAAUACCGCAUAAGACCACAAGAACUGCGGUUCAAGGGGUCAAAGGUUUUUCGCUCUAAGAUGAGUCCGCGUAAGAUUAGCUAGUUGGUAGGGUAGCGGCCUACCAAGGCGACGAUCUUUAACUGGUCUGAGAGGAUGAUCAGUCACACUGGAACUGAGACACGGUCCCGACUCCUACGGGAGGCAGCAGUAGGGAAUAUUGCACAAUGGAGGAAACUCUGAUGCAGCGACGCCGCGUGAGUGAUGAAGGCCUUCGUGUCGUAAAGCUCUGUCGCAGGGGAAUAACACAAUGAAGGUACCCUGUAAGAAAGGAUCGGCUAACUUCGUGCCAGCCGCCGCCGUAACAC
rnacentral:rRNA from 1 species